GACGAACGCUGGCGGCGUGCCUAAUACAUGCAAGUCGAGCGAAGUUUUUCUGGUGCUUGCACUAGAAAAACUUAGCGGCGCACGGGUGAGUAACACGUAAAGAACCUGCCUCAUAGACUGGGACAACUAUUGGAAACGAUAGCUAAUACCGGAUAACAGCAUUAACUGCAUGGUUGAUGUUUAAAAGUUGGUUUUGCUAACACUAUGAGAUGGCUUUGCGGUGCAUUAGCUAGUUGGUGGGGUAAAGGCCUACCAAGGCGACGAUGCAUAGCCGACCUGAGAGGGUGACCGGCCACACUGGGACUGAGACACGGCCCAGACUCCUACGGGAGGCAGCAGUAGGGAAUCUUCCGCAAUGGGCGAAAGCCUGACGGAGCAACGCCGCGUGAGUGAAGAAGGAUUUCGGUUCGUAAAGCUCUGUUGUUAGGGAAGAAUGAUUGUGUAGUAACUAUACACAGUAGAGACGGUACCUAACCAGAAAGCCACGGCUAACUACGUG
rnacentral:rRNA from 1 species